rnacentral:rRNA from 1 species
UACGUAGGUGGCAAGCGUUAUCCGGAUUUACUGGGCGUAAAGGGUCCGUCGGUGGGAAAGCAAGUUUGGUGUGACAUCUCCUGGCUCAACUAGGAGGGUGCGCCGAAAACUACUUUUCUUGAGUCACACAGAGGAGCGCAGAAUUCCCGGUGUAGUGGUGGAAUGCGUAGAGAUCGGGAGGAAUACCAACGGCGCAAGCAGCGCUCUGGGUGAGGACUGACACUUCAGGACGAAGGCGUGGGGAGCGAACAGG